rnacentral:rRNA from 1 species
AUUGAACGCUGGCGGCAGGCUUAGCACAUGCAAGUCGAGCGGAGAGAGGUAGCUUGCUACCGAUCUUAGCGGCGGACGGGUGAGUAAUGCUUAGGAAUCUGCCUAUUAGUGGGGGACAACAUUUCGAAAGGAAUGCUAAUACCGCAUACGUCCUACGGGAGAAAGCAGGGGAUCUUCGGACCUUGCGCUAAUAGAUGAGCCUAGGUCGGAUUAGCUAGUUGGUGGGGUAAAGGCCUACCAAGGCGACGAUCUGUAGCGGGUCUGAGAGGAUGAUCCGCCACACUGGGACUGAGACACGGCCCAGACUCCUACGGGAGGCAGCAGUGGGGAAUAUUGGACAAUGGGCGGAAGCCUGAUCCAGCCAUGCCGCGUGUGUGAAGAAGGCCUUAUGGUUGUAAAGCACUUUAAGCGAGGAGGAGGCUACUUUAGUUAAUACCUAGAGAUAGUGGACGUUACUCGCAGAAUAAGCACCGGCUAACUCUGUGCCAGCCGCCGCAGUAAUAC